UGAUAGAUUAGGUAAUUACAGAUAAAGAUAUACCUAAGCUCUGGGUACAUAGACACUAAGUUGUAUUCUUUGACCUCUACCACACCUGUUCCUUUAAUUACUUCUCUAGUUUUGAGACACAACUUCACCAGCUUAUUGAAUAAGCAAGAUGGGCAUCAAUGGAUCAAUGGUUAAAAAAAAAACCAGCAUGAAUCACCUUGUGACAGCUGAGUGGGUGUGGACUUGCAUGUGCGCAUGUGCACAAUCGAAGGGUUAUUCAGCGAUUACCGAGGAUGGUGGUAGGCCGCUUGCAUUUGUAAGGGAAGAGCUUAUCUUCUGGUUUCUGGAAACUUAAGUAGACUCUUAAAAGGAUGAAAAAUGUCAACAGAGAAGUCAUUCCACUAUCUAGAUGGCCUUGCUUCGACUUCUUGAAUGUUGAGUGAGAAAAUGUCUGAGGCUAGUGGAAGAUCUGUAAGGAAGAACCGAGUCUUCAUUCGUCUUGAAGUUGGCACGUCUGGGCCAAUAGUAUUUCUUCACUUCUUAUUGUCUGAUGUCCAGAAAACACUGACAUGUGAGAGCACAGAGAGUCGUUGCUUCUGGUGUUCCUAGAGCUUUAUGUGAAAGCAGCUGGAAAGCAAGAAGGUGCUAGUCGGGUAAGAGCAGAGGACCUGCCCCUGGAAGGCUGCAGCUCCAUUCCACUGUCUAUAAUGCAGACAGUAAAGAGAACGCCUCUCUGAGUCGGGCGGUAGCGCAGCGGGUUAAGCGCACAUGGCACAAGAACUCCUCUCAUACUCAGCACAGAACUGGGUCCUUGGUGUUUCUUGACCUCAGCUAGGGCAGGAGGAAGUGCCCAGAAGACAAGGUGGUGGAGGAGAAGGGCUAGCUGUGCCCAGGAGCAGAUGGUGAUUGUUUAUUAGCACACUACUACUGAGACUUUGGAGCCUCAGGCAUGAGAGUCUUUGCAUAACCAUUAUGCUAUCUCCUCCUGCCCUGAUGGUGAUAUCUUGAGACAGGCAUUGGUACCAGAGGAAAGGCAGCAGCAUUCAGAGACAGACAGUGGUGCUCUUCAGAAUACAGUGGUGUCCUCAUAGUCUCUGCCAAUCAAUCAUCACUAGAAAACAAUGUCCUGGGGGACUAGGCUGGGGCUCCUCAGCUUGAUUGUAUUAUUAUGCACAAGGAUCCAGAUUCAAGCCCUGCAGUGGGGAAGCUUAAUGAGUGUGAAGCAGUGCUAAAGGUGUCUCUUUUCUCCCCUUCCACCUCAUUUUUUCUCUGUCUCUAUCUAAUAAAAUAAAAAAUAAAAAAAUUAAAUCAUUUUAUUGGGGAGUAAUGGUUUACAGUACAAUUGUUGACACAUAGAAAAAAGAAAGAAAGAAAGAAAGAAAGAAAGAAAGAAAGAAAGAAAGAAAGAAACAGUGCCCAAUCAGUGUAAAUAGCAAAACUACAGUGUAUUUUGAGAAGUGAAGACACUAUGGUGGCAAAAGAAAAAGAAAUGACACCUAAACAAUAUAACCAAAAUAAGUGUAGCAUCUUCAUGUUUAAGAAGGCAAUGGAAAUGGUUACUAGGCACUUUUCCCCAUUAUUAUUAUUGGUGGUGGUGGUAUUGUCAUCGUAGUUGGGGCUUCACUGCUCCAGGCCAAUUUUUUUUUUUCUUUUCGAGUCAACAUUUUUUUUUUUUUUCAGCUAGAAAGUAAAAGACAGAAAGACAGAGGAAGAGAAGAGAAUAUAACACACCACUGAAACUUCCCCCAGUGCAGUGGUGCAGCGGUACAAUGUGGGUGGCACACAUGAUAAAGCAGCCGCCCUCCCAGGUGAGCUAUCUCUUCAGCCCUCAGCAAAGUUUCGACCAGCAGAGAGGCCUUAUGUAAUCAAGAGAGUGGAGGUUGCAGUGUUAUCUCUCGGUAAAGAAUCCAAAACUAACAGUUCAAAGUUGAUAUACUUUCUGAUGAAAUAAAAAGUCCAGAGUCAGCUUGUUUUUCAUAUAUACCCUCUGCUUGUGACAAGUCUAGAGAAAAGUUAUUGACCAGAGAAACUGAUGCAUGCUGGGAGGAGAAAUAAAUAGCAGAGAAGAGUUGGUAAAAUAGUCUUGCCAUGUGCGUGACUCAGGUGAAAAGUCAGCUCCCUACCAUACUGAAGGAAGCUUCAGUGCUGAGUGCUGUGGUUUCUUCCCACUCCCUUCCUCCUUAUCCUCUCCCCCCGCCCCCCACACACACCUGUAUUCCCCCAGGUCUUGCUGCUUCUAUCGGAAAAAGCCAGCCCAGAGCUGUGAACCUCCUGGUGACAAGGAGA